rnacentral:rRNA from 1 species
GACGAACGCUGGCGGCGUGCCUAAUACAUGCAAGUCGAGCGGACGAAUCGAAAGCUUGCUUUUGAUUCGUUAGCGGCGGACGGGUGAGUAACACGUGGGCAACCUGCCCUGUAGACGGGGAUAACACCGAGAAAUCGGUGCUAAUACCGGAUAACACGAAAUGUCGCAUGACGUUUCGUUGAAAGACGGCGCAAGCUGCCGCUACAGGAUGGGCCCGCGGCGCAUUAGCUAGUUGGUGAGGUAACGGCUCACCAAGGCGACGAUACGUAGCCGACCUGAGAGGGUGAUUGGCCACACUGGGACUGAGACACGGCCCAGACUCCUACGGGAGGCAGCAGUAGGGAAUCUUCCGCAAUGGACGAAAGUCUGACGGAGCAACGCCGCGUGAGCGAAGAAGGCCUUCGGGUCGUAAAGCUCUGUUGUUAGGGAAGAACAAGUAACGCAGUAACUGGCGUUACCGUGACGGUACCUAACGAGAAAGCCACGGCUAACUACGUG